GAUGAACGCUGGCGGCGUGCCUAAUACAUGCAAGUAGAACGCCGAAGGAAGGAGCUUGCUCUUUCCGGAUGAGUUGCGAACGGGUGAGUAACGCGUAGGUAACCUGCCUGGUAGCGGGGGAUAACUAUUGGAAACGAUAGCUAAUACCGCAUAACAGUAGAUAUUGCAUGAUAUCUGCUUGAAAGGGGCAAUUGCUCCACUACCAGAUGGACCUGCGUUGUAUUAGCUAGUUGGUGAGGUAACGGCUCACCAAGGCGACGAUACAUAGCCGACCUGAGAGGGUGAUCGGCCACACUGGGACUGAGACACGGCCCAGACUCCUACGGGAGGCAGCAGUAGGGAAUCUUCGGCAAUGGACGGAAGUCUGACCGAGCAACGCCGGGUGAGUGAAGAAGGUUUUCGGAUCGUAAAGCUCUGUUGUAAGAGAAGAACGAGUGUGAGAGUGGAAAGUUCACACUGUGACGGUAUCUUACCAGAAAGGGACGGCUAACUACGUG
rnacentral:rRNA from 1 species